ACGGGAGGCAGCAGUGGGGGAUAUUGCACAAUGGGGGAAACCCUGAUGCAGCAAUGCCGCGUGAGGGAAGAAGGUCUUCGGAUUGUAAACCUAAGUAGUCAGGGAUGAAGAAAGUGACAUUACCUGAAGAGUAAGCUCCGGCUAACUACGUGCCAGCAGCCGCGGUAAUACGUAGGGAGCGAGCGUUGUCCGGAUUUACUGGGUGUAAAGGGUGCGUAGGCGGGCUUGCAAGUCAGGCGUGAAAUACCGGGGCUUAACUCCGGGGCUGCGCUUGAAACUGUAAGUCUUGAGUGAAGUAGAGGCAGGCGGAAUUCCCAGUGUAGCGGUGAAAUGCGUAGAUAUUGGGAGGAACACCAGUGGCGAAGGCGGCCUGCUGGGCUUUAACUGACGCUGAGGCACGAAAGUAUGGGGAGCAAACAGGAUUAGAUACCCUGGUA
rnacentral:rRNA from 2 species